rnacentral:rRNA from 1 species
GGUUAAGCGACUAAGCGUACACGGUGGAUGCCCUGGCAGUCAGAGGCGAUGAAGGACGUGCUAAUCUGCGAUAAGCGCCGGUAAGGUGAUAUGAACCGUUAUAACCGGCGAUUUCCGAAUGGGGAAACCCAGUGUGACUCGUCACACUAUCAUUAACUGAAUCCAUAGGUUAAUGAGGCGAACCGGGGGAACUGAAACAUCUAAGUACCCCGAGGAAAAGAAAUCAACCGAGAUUCCCCCAGUAGCGGCGAGCGAACGGGGAGGAGCCCAGAGCCUGAAUCAGCAUGUGUGUUAGUGGAAGCGUCUGGAAAGGCGCGCGAUACAGGGUGACAGCCCCGUACACAAAAGCGCAUGUGCUGUGAGCUCGAUGAGUAGGGCGGGACACGUGGUAUCCUGUCUGAAUAUGGGGGGACCAUCCUCCAAGGCUAAAUACUCCUGACUGACCGAUAGUGAACCAGUACCGUGAGGGAAAGGCGAAAAGAACCCCGGCGAGGGGAGUGAAAAAGAACCUGAAACCGUGUACGUACAAGCAGUGGGAGCACAGGUUUACCUGUGUGACUGCGUACCUUUUGUAUAAUGGGUCAGCGACUUAUAUUCUGUAGCAAGGUUAACCGUAUAGGGGAGCCGUAGGGAAACCGAGUCUUAAUUGGGCGUUAAGUUGCAGGGUAUAGACCCGAAACCCGGUGAUCUAGCCAUGGGCAGGUUGAAGGUUGGGUAACACUAACUGGAGGACCGAACCGACUAAUGUUGAAAAAUUAGCGGAUGACCUGUGGCU